UACGAAGGGGACUAGCGUUGUUCGGAAUUACUGGGCGUAAAGCGCACGUAGGCGGAUCUGUAAGUCAGGGGUGAAAUCCCGGGGCUCAACCUCGGAACUGCCUUUGAUACUGCAAAUCUCGAGUCCGAUAGAGGUGGGUGGAAUUCCUAGUGUAGAGGUGAAAUUCGUAGAUAUUAGGAAGAACACCAGUGGCGAAGGCGACUUACUGGACACAUAUUGACGCUGAGGUGCGAAAGCGUGGGGAGCAAACAGG
rnacentral:rRNA from 1 species